rnacentral:rRNA from 1 species
CCCUUGUAUGUUUGAUGUUCUAACUUAGACCCAUUAUCUGGGUUGAGGACAGUGCCUGGUGGGUAGUUUGACUGGGGCGGUCUCCUCCCAAAGAGUAACGGAGGAGCACGAAGGUGGGCUAAUCACGGUUGGACAUCGUGAGGUUAGUGCAAUGGCAUAAGCCCGCUUAACUGCGAGAAUGACGGUUCGAGCAGGUGCGAAAGCAGGUCAUAGUGAUCCGGUGGUUCUGUAUGGAAGGGCCAUCGCUCAACGGAUAAAAGGUACUCCGGGGAUAACAGGCUGAUACCGCCCAAGAGUUCAUAUCGACGGCGGUGUUUGGCACCUCGAUGUCGGCUCAUCACAUCCUGGGGCUGAAGUCGGUCCCAAGGGUAUGGCUGUUCGCCAUUUAAAGUGGUACGCGAGCUGGGUUUAGAACGUCGUGAGACAGUUCGGUCCCUAUCUGCCGUGGGCGUUGGAAGAUUGAAGGGGGCUGCUCCUAGUACGAGAGGACCGGAGUGGACGAACCUCUGGUGUUCGGGUUGUGUCGCCAGACGCAUUGCCCGGUAGCUAAGUUCGGAAUUGAUAAGCGCUGAAAGCAUCUAAGCGCGAAGCGAGCCCUGAGAUGAGUCUUCCCUGACAGUUUAACUGUCCUAAAGGGUUGUUCGAGACUAGAACGUUGAUAGGCAGGGUGUGUAAGCGUUGUGAGGCGUUGAGCUAACCUGUACUAAUUGCCCGUGAGGCUUAACCAUACAACACCCAAGGGGUUUUGUA